AAAUUGCGAUAAUUAAUGCGAAUUGCAGACUUUGUGAAUCAUCGAGUUCUUGAACGCACCUUGCACCUAAUGGUUUAUUCCAUUAGGUACAGUUGUUUCAGUAUCACAAAACUCAACAGCCUAUUCAUUUGUUUGAAUACGAGUUGGAGAUGAGUCUUUUGGAUCUACCUGGCUUAGAACCAAAUGGCUUGAAAUCUAUCUACCAAAAAUCUUGGAUUUGCCAAGAGACUGGAUCAUAAUUUGGUUUUAAAUCUGGUCUUGAUAAUCUGAACUUUUGGUAUAAAACAAACCAAAACCAAAACCGUGAUCUGAAAUCAACUGAGACCACCCGCUGAACUUAA
rnacentral:misc_RNA from 1 species